AUGCCGGAUGCUCCGACUCCUCGCAUGGGGUGUCGGGAAAGAUUUCAUCGGUAUGGGAUGGGGUCGCGUCCUAUCAGGUAGUCGGCGGGGUAACGGCCCACCGAGCCUACGACGGGUAGCCGGCCUGAGAGGGCGACCGGCCACAUUGGGACUGAGAUACGGCCCAGACUCCUACGGGAGGCAGCAGUGGGGAAUAUUGCACAAUGGGCGCAAGCCUGAUGCAGCGACGCCGCGUGCGGGAUGACGGCCUUCGGGUUGUAAACCGCUUUUGAUCGGGAGCAAGCCUUCGGGUGAGUGUACCUUUCGAAUAAGCACCGGCUAACUACGUGCCAGCAGCCGCGGUAAUACGUAGGGUGCAAGCGUUAUCCGGAAUUAUUGGGCGUAAAGGGCUCGUAGGCGGUUCGUCGCGUCCGGUGUGAAAGUCCAUCGCUUAACGGUGGAUCUGCGCCGGGUACGGGCGGGCUGGAGUGCGGUAGGGGAGACUGGAAUUCCCGGUGUAACGGUGGAAUGUGUAGAUAUCGGA
rnacentral:rRNA from 1 species